UGUGUUUCAGUAUAAAUACAUGUACAUAGAAAUUUGAGUUCUAAAGAAAAAACACAA
rnacentral:tRNA from 1 species